GCGAGCCUGACGCUGAGUGAAGACUAGUACACAGCGAGGAUGACCAAGGAAAAUGCCAGAGGGCACUGUGUGUGUGUAAGAGAGAAGGCCCCCCCAGGCCUGCAAGGUGUCCGCUCUGAAAGGAGAAACAAAGAAUUCACGAGACAACCUGGCCCCAGGAGACGCAAAACGCAGCCUUUUCUUCUGCCCAACAGGAGGGACAGAGGAAGAAGAAUGCGAACUGAUUGUCCAGGAGAAUUUCAAAGAAGGGCUGUCUCAGGAGCCCACCCAAGACAGAUCAGGAGCCCUAGGCUGGAAGACAAGCAGGCCCCUGUGUGGGAGUCAGGCUGGCUCAGGCUGAAGAGGACUGCAAGACACUGCAGAGCCAGCAGGAUGCGCUCAGGUACCCACAGCACCUGGCUCCAUCUCCCCAAGGGGCUCCCCCCCUCCCUGAAUUCCCAAGGGGCUCCCCACCCUCAUCUCUCCAAGGGCCCCCCACCCCCAUUGCCCCAAGGGACUGUCCCCACCCCAUCUCCCCAAGGGGAUCUCCCCACCCCAACAAGAGUCAUGAACUUAACAUUUAAGAGCUCAACUUCGCCAUCUAGGCGGGAGAGACAGAAUUUAGGAAUUCAGAAACAGUGGAAAUCCAGCCACCCUCCUGGCCAGAAGAAUUUAUUUGCAAUUCAUUAUGUUUUUCCACACAAAUAAUUUGUAACUCCAUGAACUUUAAUGGCCUGAGCCAUUGGACAAAAGCCAUAUUCAUAAGCAGCCUAGGAAAAUCACAGGUGUAGACGCCUGAUCUACCCCCUCCUUUUUUUUCAGCAAUGGAGGUUAAGUUUACUUUAAAAAUCCUUUUCAGAGCUCAGGCGAUGUAUUUGCUUUCAAAGCGUAAGCAGUGAGGGUGGGGUGGGGAGAACCAGGUUUGCCCAGCCUGGGACCACUGUCUUCGUCCUGCUUUGCCCUGGAGGGCGGUGGUGAAGACACCACCUUUCCUGCUUCUGUGAAACUCCCACCCACUCACCAAAAUUCCAUUCAAGCCCCAGGGGGAGGCUGGAGGGAGCCAUUACCCUGCAGUGAGAAGUGGCUGGUGGCUCAGCCAGUGAGGGAGAAGGGCAAGGUCAUUGCUGGGGAGAUUGGGAAGGAGUCUGUGCUGGCCCUGCCUCCAGGAGGCCAAGGGCUCUGUCACUGGGGCACAUCAGAGUCUUCAGUGUGCCACAGACUCAGAAACCAGCCAGGAUCUGACACAUCUCUAGGCGCUCUGGGUCCUGGGACCUGCAAGGCAGCCAGGAGAAGGGAAUUCCCUUCCUGCCCUCCAGC
rnacentral:lncRNA from 1 species